rnacentral:rRNA from 1 species
AGCGGGAAUCCGGGGAGUCAGGUCAGACUUCAAAGGGAAAACUAGACGUAACGACGGGUUAGAGUCCACUGAGGAAGUUAGACUUGAGUAAAACAGAAGACUGGCCGCAUGCUUCAAGACACGGGAAAGGAAUGAUUAGCUGGAAAGCAUAGCUGAAGCGUCACUCAUUGUGAAGGGGGAAUACGCGGCA